GGUUAAGCGACUAAGCGUACACGGUGGAUGCCCUGGCAGUCAGAGGCGAUGAAGGACGUGCUAAUCUGCGAAAAGCGUCGGUAAGGUGAUAUGAACCGUUAUAGCCGGCGAUGUCCGAAUGGGGAAACCCAGUGCAAUUCGUUGCACUAUCGUUAACUGAAUACAUAGGUUAACGAGGCGAACCGGGGGAACUGAAACAUCUAAGUACCCCGAGGAAAAGAAAUCAACCGAGAUUCCCCCAGUAGCGGCGAGCGAACGGGGAGCAGCCCGGAGUCUGAAUCAGCUUGUGUGUUAGUGGAAGCGUCUGGAAAGUCGCAGGGUACAGGGUGAUACUCCCGUACACUAAAACAUACAGGCUGUGAACUCGAAGAGUAGGGCGGGACACGUGGUAUCCUGUCUGAAUAUGGGGGGACCAUCCUCCAAGGCUAAAUACUCCUGACUGACCGAUAGUGAACCAGUACCGUGAGGGAAAGGCGAAAAGAACCCCGGCGAGGGGAGUGAAAAAGAACCUGAAACCGUGUACGUACAAGCAGUAGGAGCCCACUUGUUGGGUGACUGCGUACCUUUUGUAUAAUGGGUCAGCGACUUAUAUUCUGUAGCAAGGUUAACCGUAUAGGGGAGCCGCAGGGAAACCGAGUCUUAACUGGGCGUUAAGUUGCAGGGUAUAGACCCGAAACCCGGUGAUCUAGCCAUGGGCAGGUUGAAGGUUGGGUAACACUAACUGGAGGACCGAACCGACUAAUGUUGAAAAAUUAGCGGAUGACUUGUGGCUGGGGGUGAAAGGCCAAUCAAACCGGGAGAUAGCUGGUUCUCCCCGAAAGCUAUUUAGGUAGCGCCUCGUGAAUUCAUCUUCGGGGGUAGAGCACUGUUUCGGCUAGGGGGUCAUCCCGACUUACCAACCCGAUGCAAACUACGAAUACCGAAGAAUGUUAUCACGGGAGACACACGGCGGGUGCUAACGUCCGUCGUGAAGAGGGAAACAACCCAGACCGCCAGCUAAGGUCCCAAAGUCAUGGUUAAGUGGGAAACGAUGUGGGAAGGCCCAGACAGCCAGGAUGUUGGCUUAGAAGCAGCCAUCAUUUAAAGAAAGCGUAAUAGCUCACUGGUCGAGUCGGCCUGCGCGGAAGAUGUAACGGGGCUAAACCAUGCACCGAAGCUGCGGCAGCGACACUAUGUGUUGUUGGGUAGGGGAGCGUUCUGUAAGCCGUUGAAGGUGGCCUGUGAGGGUUGCUGGAGGUAUCAGAAGUGCGAAUGCUGACAUAAGUAACGAUAAUGCGGGUGAAAAACCCGCACGCCGGAAGACCAAGGGUUCCUGUCCAACGUUAAUCGGGGCAGGGUGAGUCGACCCCUAAGGCGAGGCCGAAAGGCGUAGUCGAUGGGAAACAGGUUAAUAUUCCUGUACUUGGUGUUACUGCGAAGGGGGGACGGAGAAGGCUAUGUUGGCCGGGCGACGGUUGUCCCGGUUUAAGCAUGUAGGCGGAUGUUCCAGGUAAAUCCGGAACGUCACUAACGCUGAGGUGUGAUGACGAGGCACUACGGUGCUGAAGUGACAAAUGCCCUGCUUCCAGGAAAAGCCUCUAAGCAUCAGGUAACAUCAAAUCGUACCCCAAACCGACACAGGUGGUCAGGUAGAGAAUACCAAGGCGCUUGAGAGAACUCGGGUGAAGGAACUAGGCAAAAUGGUGCCGUAACUUCGGGAGAAGGCACGCUGAUGGUAAGUGAAGUGACUUGCUCAUGGAGCUGAAAUCAGUCGAAGAUACCAGCUGGCUGCAACUGUUUAUUAAAAACACAGCACUGUGCAAACACGAAAGUGGACGUAUACGGUGUGACGCCUGCCCGGUGCCGGAAGGUUAAUUGAUGGGGUUAUCCUCGCGGAGAAGCUCUUGAUCGAAGCCCCGGUAAACGGCGGCCGUAACUAUAACGGUCCUAAGGUAGCGAAAUUCCUUGUCGGGUAAGUUCCGACCUGCACGAAUGGCGUAAUGAUGGCCAGGCUGUCUCCACCCGAGACUCAGUGAAAUUGAACUCGCUGUGAAGAUGCAGUGUACCCGCGGCAAGACGGAAAGACCCCGUGAACCUUUACUAUAGCUUGACACUGAACACUGGUCCUUGAUGUGUAGGAUAGGUGGGAGGCUUUGAAGUGUGGACGCCAGUCUGCAUGGAGCCAUCCUUGAAAUACCACCCUUUAAUGGCUGGUGUUCUAACGUGGGCCCGUAAUCCGGGUUGCGGACAGUGUCUGGUGGGUAGUUUGACUGGGGCGGUCUCCUCCUAAAGAGUAACGGAGGAGCACGAAGGUCAGCUAAUCCUGGUCGGACAUCAGGAGGUUAGUGCAAUGGCAUAAGCUGGCUUGACUGCGAGCGUGACGGCGCGAGCAGGUGCGAAAGCAGGUCAUAGUGAUCCGGUGGUUCUGAAUGGAAGGGCCAUCGCUCAACGGAUAAAAGGUACUCCGGGGAUAACAGGCUGAUACCGCCCAAGAGUUCAUAUCGACGGCGGUGUUUGGCACCUCGAUGUCGGCUCAUCACAUCCUGGGGCUGAAGUAGGUCCCAAGGGUAUGGCUGUUCGCCAUUUAAAGUGGUACGCGAGCUGGGUUUAGAACGUCGUGAGACAGUUCGGUCCCUAUCUGCCGUGGGCGCUGGAGAAUUGAGGGGGGCUGCUCCUAGUACGAGAGGACCGGAGUGGACGCAUCACUGGUGUUCGGGUUGUCAUGCCAAUGGCAUUGCCCGGUAGCUAAAUGCGGAAGAGAUAAGUGCUGAAAGCAUCUAAGCACGAAACUUGCCCCGAGAUGAGUUCUCCCUGACCCUUUAAGGGUCCUGAAGGAACGUUGAAGACGACGACGUUGAUAGGCCGGGUGUGUAAGCGCAGCGAUGCGUUGAGCUAACCGGUACUAAUGAACCGUGAGGCUUAACCUU
rnacentral:rRNA from 1 species